rnacentral:rRNA from 1 species
UACGAAGGGGGCUAGCGUUGCUCGGAAUUACUGGGCGUAAAGGGAGCGUAGGCGGACAUUUAAGUCAGGGGUGAAAUCCCGGGGCUCAACCUCGGAAUUGCCUUUGAUACUGGGUGUCUCGAGUAUGAGAGAGGUGUGUGGUACUCCGAGUGUAGAGGUGAAAUUCGUAGAUAUUCGGAAGAACACCAGUGGCGAAGGCGACGCACUGGCUCAUUACUGACGCUGAGGCUCGAAAGCGUGGGGAGCAAACAGGAUUAGAUACCCCCGUAGUCCCU